UCCGGUUUAUCACCGGCAGUCUCCUUAGAGUCCCCACCAUUACGUGCUGGCAACUAAGGAUAGGGGUUGCGCUCGUUACGGGACUUAACCCAACAUUUCACAACACGAGCUGACGACAGCCAUGCAGCACCUGUCUCUAGGUUCCCGAAGGCACACCCACCAUUACGUAGGCUUCCUAGGAUGUCAAGAGUAGGUAAGGUUCUUCGCGUAUCAUCGAAUUAAACCACAUGCUCCACCGCUUGUGCGGGUCCCCGUCAAUUUCUUUGAGUUUUAACCUUGCGGCCGUACUCCCCAGGCGGAGAACUUAUCGCGUUAGCUUCGACACUGAGCCGUCAUUGCGGCCCAACGUCUAGUUCUCAUCGUUUACGGCGUGGACUAC
rnacentral:misc_RNA from 1 species